ACACUCCUACAGGAGGCAGCAGUGGGGAAUUUUGGACAAUGGGCGAAAGCCUGAUCCAGCAAUGCCGCGUGAGUGAAGAAGGCCUUCGGGUUGUAAAGCUCUUUUGUCAGGGAAGAAACGGUGAGAGCUAAUAUCUCUUGCUAAUGACGGUACCUGAAGAAUAAGCACCGGCUAACUACGUGCCAGCAGCCGCGGUAAUACGUAGGGUGCAAGCGUUAAUCGGAAUUACUGGGCGUAAAGCGUGCGCAGGCGGUUUUGUAAGUCUGAUGUGAAAUCCCCGGGCUCAACCUGGGAAUUGCAUUGGAGACUGCAAGGCUAGAAUCUGGCAGAGGGGGGUAGAAUUCCACGUGUAGCAGUGAAAUGCGUAGAUAUGUGGAGGAACACCGAUGGCGAAGGCAGCCCCCUGGGUCAAGAUUGACGCUCAUGCACGAAAGCGUGGGGAGCAAACAGGAUUAGAAACCCCGGUAGUCCC
rnacentral:rRNA from 1 species